ACACUCAUGUCACUUGUUUACCUCGGAACGAUACGAUAAAUGAUACAAGACCGAGAUAGGUUAACUACACGGCUUUAUUAUGAGACGUAUGUAACGGCGAAGAGAAGAAAAGUGACUAAAGAUGCCGACAAAAGCUUCGAUCAGGAAUAUUCCUGAACGGGACGUAUCGAAGCGGAAACACGUGUCCCCGGGUGUUUCGAACGAGGCCAGAGGAAAUUUCUGCCGACAGCCUUGAAAGUGCACUUGAUUCGUGAGCGCGUGCCUCGUAAACGCACAA
rnacentral:misc_RNA from 1 species